GUGAUUGGAAGUCAGAGCUUACAUUUAAACAAAUAGAUGUAAGUAACUACUAGCUAACUCCGCGCAUCUCUUUAUUCUAGUUUCAAUACCAUUAUCAUUCUUGAUUAUGUUUUUGAUUGAACUCUAUUCUCGUAAAGUGCUUGAGGCAGGAACAGGGGAACAAUUUAUGUGGAUACUAUGUUUGCGAGUUCAUUCGCUAGACGACCCAUCAGACGGGCAAAAAAAUUGAAGUACGAUAAACAAUACUCACAACUUUAUUUUAUUACCGUCAAUUGUGUUUGUUUUCAUUGAUAUAUAUAUCGACCCCUCUUUAAAUUAGAUCGAACGGGCAGAACGGUCUUCUACCACAGGAACGUGUACGAGCAAUUCAAGAGGAAAUUGCCGGAUUCUUAGAUGUAGAGCUCCUAGAUGUCAAGGGAGAAUAUUAUUGCCCGUCGAUGCAAUUCAAAUGAAAUGAUAUAGUGUAAAAGAGAUGCAUAUGUGCAUGUGUAACCCGUGUCUACAUUUUGUAAAUAUGUUCGACAAAGCACGACGGAUGAGGUGGUGUAAUAUAUUCGUGACGAUGAUGUGCAAUAUAGUUGUUCCUUUAUUGCUG
rnacentral:lncRNA from 1 species